GAUGAACGCUGCCGGCGUGCCUAAUACAUGCAAGUCGAGCGAACAGACGAGGAGCUUGCUCCUCUGACGUUAGCGGCGGACGGGUGAGUAACACGUGGAUAACCUACCUAUAAGACUGGGAUAACUUCGGGAAACCGGAGCUAAUACCGGAUAAUAUAUUGAACCGCAUGGUUCAAUAGUGAAAGACGGUUUUGCUGUCACUUAUAGAUGGAUCCGCGCCGCAUUAGCUAGUUGGUAAGGUAACGGCUUACCAAGGCAACGAUGCGUAGCCGACCUGAGAGGGUGAUCGGCCACACUGGAACUGAGACACGGUCCAGACUCCUACGGGAGGCAGCAGUAGGGAAUCUUCCGCAAUGGGCGAAAGCUUGACGGAGCAACGCCGCGUGAGUGAUGAAGGUCUUCGGAUCGUAAAACUCUGUUAUUAGGGAAGAACAAAUGUGUAAGUAACUAUGCACGUCUUGACGGUACCUAAUCAGAAAGCCACGGCUAACUACGUG
rnacentral:rRNA from 1 species